GAAUGUGAACUGCAGGACACAUGAACAUUGAUAAGUUGAACGCAUAUUGCACGUCGUGGGAACCUACCAUGAUGUACACAUACUUGAGUGCUUAUAAUUAGAAGUGGAAAACAGCGGACUACGGAUUGAUUUGGUGCCGGUCACCACGUCAUGAUGUGCAUAAUGAUGUAAGAGGGAUCUCGCCGAUCCGCUUGCAUUGAAGGCUUGUGUUGAAAAACCGUGGAGACGAACAGGUAGCAAGGCUUUUGUGUUCCCGCGAACGGCGGAAGUAUAUACAAGCGUGCGUGCCUGUUGCUGUGCGUAGAUGGAGCAGGUGUCUUCCUCUUCUAUUUUAUUUUUUUAAAAUUGAGGUAAGAUUUCCAACGUUUCUUCGAGAAUAGUGGCAGGCGCAAAUAAUUGACAAUACUGAAGUUUGGACAACGGAACACAACACAAAGUAUGAAAACACUACCCAGAAUUUGUGCGAAGCGGAAAGUAAAUGCAAGCAAAACCAAAGGAACAUUAUCACUUACGAGUGAGGCCACUCGGUGGUCAGAUAAGCCUCAAAUAAUGUGUGACUACCCC
rnacentral:rRNA from 1 species